UGCGGAGGGUGCGAGCGUUGUCCGGAAUCACUGGGCGUAAAGGGCGCGUAGGCGGCGCGAGCAGUCGGCGGUGAAAGCCCGGAGCUCAACUCCGGGUCGGCCGUCGAUACUCUCGUGCUCGAGCACUGUAGAGGCAGGUGGAAUUCCGGGUGUAGCGGUGGAAUGCGUAGAGAUCCGGAAGAACACCGGUGGCGAAGGCGGCCUGCUGGGCAGUAGCUGACGCUGAGGCGCGACAGCGUGGGGAGCAAACAGG
rnacentral:rRNA from 1 species